GUGGGUAUAGCUCAGUUGGUUAGAGCGCUGGUUUGUGGCACCAGAGGUCGUCGGUUCGACCCCGACUACCCACCCCA
rnacentral:tRNA from 1 species